AGGAUCUGUAGAUGUGCUGAGGCUGGGUUUGAACCAGCCACCUUCUAAUUACAGAUGUGAUGUUCUGGGUCAGGACAUUUUCCACAGCACCGGAGAAAGAAGUCCCGAGAAUCCCUGGAGACACCCGAAAUUUCCUGAGCUGUUUCAGGGGGGAAAGACGCUGCCUGGCCUCCAGGAUGCCAGCUCAUGCUGGGUGGCACAUCCAUAGGUGUCUGCCUCUUUGUGUGAGGAGAAACAGGAGGAGCACUGACUGAGACCACCUCCAACUCAUCCCGAGUGGCACAUCCAUAGGUGUCAUUGAAAAAAGGUUUGCUGGGUCUCCCAGCACAGUCUCAAGAGUGUGGAGGAGAUACCAGGAGACAGACCUUUACGUGAGGAGAGCUGGACAGGGCCGCAGAAGGGCAACCACCCAGCACCAAGACCGAUGUCUGCCUCUUUGUGUGAGGAGAAACAGGAGGAGCACUGACUGAGACCACCUCCAGCUCAUUUGCAUAUUUCUGACCGAAGUGCUGGAAAUAUAUUCUAUUAGGGUGGCAGGAGGAACCAAUGGCCACUAGUGGGACCUGCGCUCACAGCCCUGCACCAUGCAGCUUGAUUGGAAUUCGCCAGAGACCACCUGAACUGGCAAGUUCACCAUUGGCUUGUUUGGUGGGUAAUGGUGAUGGUCUUGGGAGGCAUAUUUUUGGAGGGCAGCACUAACCUCCACGGGCUGUUAGAUACUGGGAUGAAAUCCUUAGACCCACUGCCAGACCAUACGCUGGUGCCAUGGGCCCCGGCUUCCUCUUGGUGCAGCACAAUGCCCAGCCUCAUGUGAUGAGAGUGUGUAGGCACACAAACGCCACUCUCAUAUUUCUCCACAAUUUCCUUCUUCGUUUCGUUAGUGAUUGCUUUCUUUACCUUCUCUUCCUUCCUUAGCUUCUUUGGUGCCAUUUUGAUAGCAAUUAGCGAAAUUAUUUAUAUAAAGCACUGCACUGACCGAAAUGACGCCCACAAACAGGUGUAUCUGGGCUCAGAUUGAUGCUUUCGGGCGCCUCUCGGCUCUUUGUUCACAACCGCACAAGCGGAUACACGUUUUGGCCUCGACUGGCAUUCGGGUCGUAACUCAAGACUUUGGUCAAAACUAAAAUUUUGGUCAUAACCCAAGUUGUUCGUAUGUCAGGCCAGUUAUAACUCAAGGGUCCACUGUACAAACUUUGGCGGAAAAGUAAUUCAGUGGCAUAACAGUAAAGUUUUAAUUGAAAUCACAACUGAAUUCAUAUUCCCUGCUCUAACAGCAUUUACAAAAUGCACAUGUAAUAUUCUACGACACUUUCAUAUCACAUAAAGUCUUGGCACAAAUUAAAGAAUUGCUUUUGUAAAUAUGUGUGCUGUAAACACUGUCCUGCAGAUCAGAAUCAGAAUAACUUUAUUGUCAUUGUAACAAGUACAACGAAAUUAGGUGCAAUCCCCAUGUCGGACAUAAAGAAUUUAUAUAAAUAACAACAUAACAACAUACUUGUGAGAAGACUGUUUAAUUUCAAGCAAGCAGUUUUAUUGUUUUCCCCAAGCUACGAAGAGUUAAAUAGAAUGUUUUACAUGUGUAAUAAAAUGGAGUAGUUAUUGUCGCA